UACGUAGGUGGCAAGCGUUGUCCGGAUUUACUGGGCGUAAAGAGCGCGCAGGCGGUCGUUCAAGUCGCGUGUGAAAGCCCCCGGCUCAACUGGGGAGGGUCACGCGAUACUGAUCGACUCGAAGGCAGGAGAGGGUAGUGGAAUUCCCGGUGUAGUGGUGAAAUGCGUAGAUAUCGGGAGGAACACCAGUGGCGAAGGCGACUACCUGGCCUGUUCUUGACGCUGAGGCGCGAAAGCUAGGGGAGCAGACGGG
rnacentral:rRNA from 1 species